ensembl:lncRNA
CCUGACCGCAGGUUUAUCUUGUGUAAUUUUAAAAAGUGUGGGGAUAUGCGGGGUGUAUUUCUUUCCCCCACACUAAUUUUGCACCAGUGGUUUUAUACCAAUUAAAGGUUUUUGGUCUAAGCCAAUAACCAUUUAGCAGCCAUUAUUUUAAACAGCACACUCAUGGAUUCAUGUAUCCGUGAGACGCCUUUUAAUGUCAGGGUUCAAAAGGCAUUUCAUAGCUCAUAAGCUGCUCUCAUGAAGUGCUAAAAUAAAAUCAUUAUAAAAGGGUUCGGAGAACAUUUCACGUCUAAUGCAAGAUCCUUUCUCUCUCUCUUUUUUUUUACCCAGAUUGCUUGUACAAUGCACCGUUUUGAUCUCAGCUGUUCCUGAAGUUUAAGAGCUGAAUUAGUAAGCUGUCAAGGGCUUACUCACAAAUUGCUCGUAGCGACUCGAAAAUUGAAGUUCUCUCUCCUCUGCAAGCCUCUUCAGAGCACUCCAUCCUCAGGGCAGGCUAAUUUAAAGUUAAUUACCUGGUGCCUGGAUAGAGAGACAGGGCCUGAGCCGGAGCACACCAAACACGUGCAGGCGGCGCGAGCAGCAAACUGCAGCAGGGGGAUGUGGGUGGCAGUGAAGCGUCAGUCUCUGGUGAGAAUUGAUUUCAGUCCCCCCCCUCCCUCACCCCAGCAGCUGAAGGCUCAGGUCACAUCCCAGCCUGCCCGAGCAAGAUAACGCCCAGUGAAGUGAGAGCAAGUCACCUGGAA